GACGAACGCUGGCGACGUGCUUAACACAUGCAAGUCGAACGGAAAGGCCCUGCUUUUGUGGGGUGCUCGAGUGGCGAACGGGUGAGUAACACGUGAGUAACCUGCCCUUGACCUUGGGAUAACUUCAGGAAACUGGGGCUAAUACCGGAUAGGAGCUCCUGCUGCAUGGUGGGGGUUGGAAAGUUUCGGCGGUUGGGGAUGGACUCGCGGCUUAUCAGCUUGUUGGUGGGGUAGUGGCUUACCAAGGCUUUGACGGGUAGCCGGCCUGAGAGGGUGACCGGCCACAUUGGGACUGAGAUACGGCCCAGACUCCUACGGUGGGCAGAAGUGGGGAAUAUUGCACAAUGGGCGGAAGCCUGAUGCAGCAACGCCGCGUGCGGGAUGACGGCCUUCGGGUUGUAAACCGCUUUCGCCUGUGACGAAGCGUGAGUGACGGUAAUGGGUAAAGAAGCACCGGCUAACUACGUG
rnacentral:rRNA from 1 species